GCCUCACGGGCGCGCGCACCCCGCGAUCCCGCGCGGCCUUGAGCCCCCUCGCCCCGCCCCUCCCCCCAGGGCAGAAGCCCCUUGCGAAGCUUCCCUCUUCCUCCUCUCCUCUCUCAGGAAAGCCAAGCCCACCUUCUCCUUCGCGCGCCAUUCCUCCUCUGGGCAAAGGCAGCUGCGAGCCUCCCUGGAAAAGGUCCAGCCCUAUGAGGAUUCCCCACUCGGCUUCCCUUCUCCCCGCGGCUUUCCCCGAUUCCUCUCGGGGGGCGUGCCGGCCCCCUGACUCGGCAUUCCUCCGCCCCAGCUGCUCCUCCCCGUCCUCCUCUGCGCCCACCUGCCCGCCAGCUGCUCCCCGGCUCGCGCCCUCCCUGUUUUAUGCUGUGCAGGGGGAUCGCCAGCGCCCAUGAGGGAGUACAAAGUCGUGGUUUUAGGGAGUGGGGGGGUGGGCAAGUCGGCUUUGACCGUGCAGUUUGUCACCGGGACGUUCAUUGAGAAGUACGACCCCACCAUCGAAGACUUCUACCGCAAGGAGAUUGAAGUGGACUGCUCCCCAUCAGUACUGGAAAUCUUGGAUACCGCAGGGACGGAACAGUUUGCUUCCAUGCGUGAUCUCUACAUUAAAAAUGGCCAAGGCUUCAUCCUAGUUUACAGUUUGGUGAACCAACAAUCUUUCCAGGACAUCAAGCCAAUGAGGGACCAAAUUGUCCGUGUAAAGAGAUACGAGAAGGUUCCUCUCAUCCUGGUGGGGAAUAAAGUGGAUCUGGAGUCGGAAAGGGAGGUUUUGUCAGCGGAAGGUCGUGCUCUGGCCCAGGAGUGGGGCUGCCCAUUCAUGGAGACAUCUGCCAAGAGCAAGACCAUGGUGGAUGAACUCUUUGCAGAGAUCGUGAGGCAAAUGAACUAUGCAUCCCUGCCUGAAAAGCAAGACCAGUGUUGUACAACUUGUAUUGUCCAGUGAAAAAGAGAAAGCAGAAUCUCAAUCAUGGCCAUACCAAGCAGGUUGGUGGAAUCUCCAUGGAUAGCAGAAUACCACUCAAGGAUAAAAACUCAGAGGAAUUUGCACAGAUGCUGCUUUGGAGAAACCCUUUCAGCCCAGGCUGCAGAACUGAGCCUUGCUAAAUCCUGUCUCUCUCUUUAGAGCACAUUUCCAGGCGUGGGUGCAAAAAGGUCAGCGGCGGCCAUGGACAUCCGUAGGCCUGCAACAAACGCUUAGCAUGUUUACCACACAUUCUGAAAUCUGUUCUUUAUCUCUCAGUCCUUCUGGUUCUUUUUAAAAUAGCUUUCUAAAUUCCUAUUAAUGGCUAAUAUGCAAAGGUUCAUUUUAAAAAUAUGUUUUGAUUUCCUUAAUUGAUUUCCAGAACUUGUAUUUAUUAAAUUUUAAACUCAGUAUUACCUACUCAAUGCCUUUUUAAGUGAAAGUUUUAAUGGAGAAUAAAAGUGAGCCUUAAACAAGUGGUUACUUCUGUAUAUUACCUCACAUCCGUGCUUGAUUUGCAAAAAGAAAGUUUUCUUCUCCUCCAAAAUGUCACUGGUUGAAACUUCAAAAUGUUCUGUUUACAUGUGAUUGUGUCAUAGAUAUGAGUCAUAUUGUACGGAUGUUUUAAACAUCACAUUUCGCUAGCAGCUGUGGUGGCUGGUCAUUGGUCUUACAUGAAGAUAGGAAGUUAUUGGACUGGGUCUCGAGCUGACCAGCACUUUGUAUGUGUUUUCCUUCUUAUCACAUGGUAUUCAGAGUUUGUUUGGUUUUCCCCUUUUAAACUGAUGCAGCAUUCAUGUUAAAUCACCAGGACAUUUUUCAAUUUCUGAUAUUGUAUUUCUCGGCAAAGAAUAAUGAGUUGUCCACGGGGCUUUUGUUCAAAAGCAAAAGCUAACUUGGGUUUGCCUGACAGGAUUAAGAUGACAUCAAAUGCAAAAACAAAAAAACAUUUUCUAGUUCUUAAAAUACUGUUUCUCUCCUAAUAAUGUUUUUAAGCAAUAUCUGUUUGCUUAUUUCCUGCCCACUCCCCUGGUUUCCAGUACUCUGAGCUGGCACAGCAGGCAAGAGUGUUGAGCAUCAACUCCAUGCACGAUUGCAUUACACAGCCAUUGCCUUCUGCAGAGUUUACCUGAUUUAAACUAUUUUGUCUGGAUACUUGAAAACUUAGAACAGCAACACAGGUAUUAAGCAGAAUGAAAAGUAUAUAAAUAGCUGAAGUGUUGAGGUAGGAGUUUUUUCCAGCAGUGAUUUGAGAAACCGCCUUUUCCUCCCCACAGUCUGAAUAACUGUGGCUCAUUUACCUGUAUCAAAUUGUAGGUUUAAGAGCCUAGCUUAAUUAAUUUGAACAUGCUUGAUAAAUACUGGCUUGUCCUAUAAAAGCCAAUAACCUGUUGACAAUGAAUUCUUGCAAUUAAGUACUAGCCUGAGAUAUGAGGCAACUAUAACUUCAAAAAGAGGCACCAGCAUUCUGCAUGUUUAGUCUCAUUUGAACCCUAUUGAGAAAAAAAUCAGUUUUAAGUUUAAAGCUUCAGGUUACCAAAUUUGCAAUGGGGUUACUAGAAAUUAAUGUUAGGUUUGCACUUUAAUGGAAGACUUCAAAACUGAAGGCUGUUCUCAAAGUAUAUUUAUAUGGUAACAUGUUAGUAGUGCCAAGGGAACAGAGGAUCCAAAUAACCUAAUUUCCUAAGAGGGCAGAAACCUUGCAUUGCCACCAAACCCUUUCCCUUUUGUUUCUUAAUUGAUCAUUUGUUAAAAUGUGAUUUAAAAUCCUUAACUGACAUCAGCAGUUGGUAUAGUACCAGGAAUGGCAAAACUUAUGCCCAGUGUCAGUUUCCUCACUGCAAAUUGGAAUAAGGGACCAAAUGUUUAGCUGAGGCUUCCUCUUGGGUUGCAGUGAGGAGUAGCUUUGUGGAAGUAGCUGAUAACGCAAUAUUUGCAGGACCCCCAGGCCUGCCUCCUGGGUCUCUUUGUUAAUUGAAAAAGUUGUCUCUUAAGCCCCCUUUUAGCUUCAUCAGGGCUUGUUGAGGGCAAAGCUUCUGGUGGGCUGCUUCCUUUGACCCUCCAGCAUCUCUCUUGGGUCUUCAAAUCACUGCAGUUGGGACUCUCCAAACAAAGGCCAUUUUCAGAGGUCUCCCAAACCACCCUGGGAUAUCUGUCCCCUAGACUGAAAAGUGGCAGCAGAACACAAGAUAAUUCUGAAAGAAUUAUUGUCUCCCUUAGCCACCUUUUCUGUUGUUUGCACGGUGGGUGUUGAGGCCCUGCUCCUCUCCCCCUAGAGCAACUGGCCAGGGUCCGUGAAUGCAGCUGUUUGUUGGGAGAGAAAUACCCCCCUGGGUACAAUUGUGACCUUUUGCAUGGACACAGCUGAGAGCCGUGAUAUGUGUGAAAAGUACCUAAAAGGAAACCUGAACUUAACCAGUGUGCUGUACCUUUUAUUGGUGAAAAAGUAAAACCUGGGAAUAUUAGUGAAUGCAAAACUUAGAACUAUGAUCUAAUGCAUUGUAAACUAAAAACCACCUAUUACACCCCCCACCCCCCGGAUUUCAUUCAUUCAUUAUUUUGUAAGACGACCCUACAGUCCACCUGUUUGUAACUUUUUUAAAUAAAAUAGAUACCUGUAUUAAUUACCAAAA